rnacentral:rRNA from 1 species
GUGGGGAAUAUUGGGCAAUGGGCGAAAGCCUGACCCAGCGACGCCGCGUGAGGGAAGAAGGUCUUCGGAUUGUAAACCUCUUUCAGCAGGGAAGAAGAAAGUGACGGUACCUGCAGAAGAAGUCACGGCUAACUACGUGCCAGCAGCCGCGGUAAUACGUAGGUGGCGAGCGUUAUCCGGAAUUACUGGGUGUAAAGGGUGUGUAGGCGGGAGUGCAAGUCAGACGUGAAAACUAUGGGCUCAACCCAUAACGUGCGUUUGAAACUGUGCUUCUUGAGAGUGGGAGAGGUAAACGGAAUUCCUGGUGUAGUAGUGAAAUGCGUAGAUAUCAGGAGGAACACCGGUGGCGAAGGCGGUUUACUGGACCACAACUGACGCUGAGACACGAAAGCGUGGGGAGCAAACAGGA